rnacentral:misc_RNA from 1 species
ACAAACUUGGUCAUUUAGAGGAAGUAAAAGUCGUAACAAGGUUUCCGUAGGUGAACCUGCGGAAGGAUCAUUGAUGAAUUCAAGGCGGCGUCGUCCCGUGCUGGCCCUCGGGCAUGUGCACGUUCGGCGUCGUCCAUCUCACACACACACCUGUGCACUCCUGGAGGCACGGCGCGCUCGUAAGGUUUGCCGGCCCGGUCGGCUCUCUCCCGGGGCGUGUCGUCCUUCGCUUUUCACACACACCUUUGUCUUGUCCUGCUCGUGUAACACGUAACCAAUACAACUUUCAACAACGGAUCUCUUGGCUCUCGCAUCGAUGAAGAACGCAGC